ACAGGUCAACCACAGACAGACAAUUUAUUAGGCACCUACUAUGUGCCAGGCACUGUGCUAAAUGCUGGGGAUCCAAUACAAAUAAGUGAGGCAAUCCUUUUCCUCACCGAAUUUAUACUCUAAUGGAGAAAGAUAAUACAUAUAUGCAGGGGAUGCACAGAUAAAUGAUUAACAACUAGCUGUAUGAUAUAAUUUUCUGUUUAAUCUGGAUUAAUUGAAACAUUUUUUCCAUCGCUUCCUUAAGAUUUAGACCCAGGAUGGACAAACUCCAACUCUAAGAACAAAUCGACCUUCCUUAUAGCAGGCUGAGCAAACUAAGAAUGGUUUUCACAUUUGUAAAUAAAGUUUUAUUAAAAAAAACAAUCUGAAUCUGGGCCUACAAAAACAGGCCAGGGAGUUGAAUUUGGCCCAGAGGCAAGAGUUUGUUGAUUGCUUUCUCCCUCCUGCCCUCCCCAACUGGACAUAAAUCAAGCUUGGAUUGCCAAAUUUUGAGGUGUAAAUGAUCCCACUGAAAAUGUAACCUCUGGUCUAGGCUGGCUCCUGCACACUCCUGCUAGAGGGGAGCUAUACAGUUCGGCACCUCAGGGUCCUGGCAACGUGGUGAAUGAUGAAGAGGCUGGAGAGAGAGACCAGGUGUGAGAGAGAUGAAACGUGGCUGUGGUUCUUCCCAAAAUGGCAGCCCGAGGAGGGAGCCUUCUCCUAGGGGCAAUGGUUCUGUUCUUUCCCUGGAUGUUGUAAGAGAGAAAAUCAGAUCCAGCAUGGCAAAAGGAACAACCCAAGCAGGGGGAAGGGCAAAGAAGCCCCAAGAUUCCAGAAAGGAAGAGAUGAGCUGGGAGGAUUCAAAAACACUCACUUCACUUAUUCUUGGGAGCUCUCCUAGAGUGGAUGGUCUGAGGGAAGACCUCUGUGAUAGAGGGCCUCUCUAGACAUUGACUAUUUUCCAGUGAACCCCAAAUCCCUCUGUUCCAGCUGAAGCCAAUAAAAGUAGAUUGGGACUUUGCA
rnacentral:lncRNA from 1 species